rnacentral:rRNA from 1 species
GAUGAACGCUGGCGGCGUGCCUAAUACACGCAAGUCGAGCGAACAGACGAGGAGCUUGCUCCUCUGACGUUAGCGGCGGACGGGUGAGUAACACGUGGAUAACCUACCUAUAAGACUGGGAUAACUUCGGGAAACCGGAGCUAAUACCGGAUAAUAUAUUGAACCGCAUGGUUCAAUAGUGAAAGACGGUUUUGCUGUCACUUAUAGAUGGAUCCGCGCCGCAUUAGCUAGUUGGUAAGGUAACGGCUUACCAAGGCAACGAUGCGUAGCCGACCUGAGAGGAUGAUCGGCCACACUGGAACUGAGACACGGUCCAGACUCCUACGGGAGGCAGCAGUAGGGAAUCUUCCGCAAUGGGCGAAAGCCUGACGGAGCAACGCCGCGUGAGUGAUGAAGGUCUUCGGAUCGUAAAACUCUGUUAUUAGGGAAGAACAAAUGUGUAAGUAACUAUGCACGUCUUGACGGUACCUAAUCAGAAAGCCACGGCUAACUACGUG